rnacentral:rRNA from 1 species
UACGUAGGGUGCAAGCGUUGUCCGGAAUUAUUGGGCGUAAAGAGCUCGUAGGCGGUCUGUCGCGUCUGCUGUGAAAACCUGGGGCUUAACCCCGGGCCUGCAGUGGGUACGGGCAGACUAGAGUGCGGUAGGGGAGACUGGAAUUCCUGGUGUAGCGGUGGAAUGCGCAGAUAUCAGGAGGAACACCGGUGGCGAAGGCGGGUCUCUGGGCCGUAACUGACGCUGAGGAGCGAAAGCAUGGGGAGCGAACAGG